rnacentral:rRNA from 1 species
AUGGCGAAGAAAGGUGUGGGGAAAAAACAGAGAAGGGAGAUGAUGGAUAAGGUGUGGAUGGAUAAGAAGAAGAUCACGACGGAUGAGCUCGUGCUGGUGGUUGCGCCGGUGACGUACCCGGAAACCGCGGCGGACUGGCGGAGGAGCUGCUCCUGGAGCUCGAGCGCGGCGCUCCCAAGCUCUCGUGCUCGGGCGGCUCCGGCGAAGCGCGCUCUGGUGAAGAGGAGCGGCGGGAAGGAGAUGGGGGCGAUGCGUUCGAUGACGGGGGUCGCCCCCUGCUACUGCCCGGGUGUUGGCGCGGCUCCGGCGACUCACAGGGAGGCCACAGCGAGGAGAUGCGCGAGCGGGGAGAGCGCGGAGGCGACUCUAGCGGAGAGGAGCAGCGGGGAGGCGACUCUAGCAGAGAGGAGCAGCGGGGAGGCGAUGGGGCGUGAUUCGGUCGAUGACGGGGGGCACCCCUGCUACUGCCCCGGUUGCUGCCGCGGCUACGUGAGCGCUGCGGUCCGGGCUGGGCCAUGUUGGCCGUCGACCGAUGCCGGACUUGGGCUGCUCCGCCGCCACACCCGCAGCAGGACUUGGUCUGCUCCACCACCACGCCCGCAACCUGGUAGACGACGUGGCCGACGCCGACACACCGGCGAGUUUCUGGUGCGGUUGUAG